CAUAUUAUAAAAGAAGGGCUUGAUCCAGCAGUACAGGCAGUAUGAACAAGACCCAGAUGAAUGAAGAGGCUUUUUCAAACCAACUACGGCCUGUGUCUCAGUUCAUGAUCAAAAAUCCCCCAUCUGGCAGUAUUUUGCUGAAGAUGAGGAGCAACUCAUGUUUUCAUUAGUUUUAUCCACUAGUUCCUCAUUUCCAGGUUUUGCUGGUGAUGGAAACUCCCAGACCUUCAUUAAUGUCAUCUGACAGCGAUCUUUACAAUGGCUCUGCUGGUUUGAUUGUUUCCAAUCAAACCAAGAACAAUGCAGACAACACUGGACAAACUUUCUAUAUUUUAGUCAUUGCUAUCAUUGAAUUCCCAGUGAUCUGUCUGGCUAUUUAUGCUGCUUGUUCUCUAAUCAAAUCUAAACGAGAAGCUCCUGUUUUUGUCCUAAAUCUACUCAUUUCAGAUCUAAUCUUUAUUGUUUGCACAUUACUUCAGAUUAGAUUCUGCUCAUCCUACAUGUUGAUAGCAACAGAGUGGACUUGUGCCACAGGUAUGUAUUUCAUGACAUGCAUAGCCGUAGAGAGAUACGUUAUGAUCGCUCAUCCCAUUUGGCACAGGACUCAUCGCUCAUUCAAAUGUCUUGUUUGUACUUCUCUGACUGGUUGGGUUGUAUCUUUGAUCGUUAUUCCAAUCUACUAUACAAAAUUGGUCCUGAUAAAUUUCAUUCCCUUCAUCUUCUAUCCAGUGAUCAUUUUGUGUUUUGUAGGUGCAUGCAGGUCCCUCUCUCGCUCAAUAACACUCACUCCUGUAAAGAAGCAGUUAGUUCUGGCUCCUCUGUUCUUUGUGGUGAUCAGCUACACCUUUCUAAUUCUACCACUUAAUAUUGUAUUGAUUGAGUAUCUAGAAUUUAAUAAUACCCUAGGUAGUAUGUUGAAUUUUACUUCAUGUCUUUUUCUGUUAAACCCGCUUGUGGACUGUUUGCUGUAUGUGUUCAUGAGAAGUGACUCUGAGAACAUCAUCAGGAUGCCUCACUGCUGCACCAGACUGAAGAGAGUUCAGAGUGAAACGAGACACACAACAUCUACUAAUGUACAGCAUGAUCAUGUGUGAGAAAUUCACACUAGACCACUGAUGUCAGCAACUAAUGCACAGUAUGUACAGUAAUAGUUCUCAAAUAACUCAUUACAGCAUGUAUAACUGGAUGAAAUAUCACAUAUAUUUGUGUACAUAUUGUAGUAUGAUUCAAUGAAUGAAAUGAUGUCCUGCAAUUGUGUUUGUGCUAUUGAGCUUUAUGUCUGUAGAUCACUGGUAAUGCUGUUACAAAAAUGUACCUUUAGUAUGGUUAUGAUACUUGUACUUGUAAAUGAUCUAGUCAUGUUGAUCUUAAAGUGGUUAAAAACUUCAUGUGAAUUGCUAAUACCACAUUUACUA